rnacentral:rRNA from 1 species
GCAUAUCAAUAAGCGGAGGAAAAGAAACCAACAGGGAUUGCCCCAGUAACGGCGAGUGAAGCGGCAACAGCUCAAAUUUGAAAUCUGGCCCUCGGGUCCGAGUUGUAAUUUGUAGAGGAUGCUUUUGGCGAGGUGCCUUCCGAGUUCCCUGGAACGGGACGCCACAGAGGGUGAGAGCCCCGUAUGGUCGGACACCGAGCCUCUGUAAAGCUCCUUCGACGAGUCGAGUAGUUUGGGAAUGCUGCUCAAAAUGGGAGGUAUAUGUCUUCUAAAGCUAAAUAUUGGCCAGAGACCGAUAGCGCACAAGUAGAGUGAUCGAAAGAUGAAAAGCACUUUGAAAAGAGGGUUAAAAAGUACGUGAAAUUGUUGAAAGGGAAGCGCCUAUGACCAGACUUGGGCCCGGUGAAUCAUCCAGCGUUCUCGCUGGUGCACUUUGCCGGGCACAGGCCAGCAUCAGUUUGGCGCGGGGGAAAAAGGCUUCGGGAAUGUGGCUCCCUCGGGAGUGUUAUAGCCCGCUGCGUAAUACCCUGCGCCGGACUGAGGUACGCGCAUUGCAAGGAUGCUGGCGUAAUGGUCAUCAGCGACCCGUCUUGAAACACGGACCAAGGAGUCGUCUUCGUAUGCGAGUGUUCGGGUGUCAAACCCCUACGCGUAAUGAAAGUGAACGCAGGUGAGAGCUUCGGCGCAUCACCGACCGAUCCUGAUGUUCUCGGAUGGAUUUGAGUAAGAGCAUACGGGGCCGGACCCGAAAGAAGGUGAACUAUGCCUGUAUAGGGUGAAGCCAGAGGAAACUCUGGUGGAGGCUCGCAGCGGUUCUGACGUGCGAAUCGAUCGUCAAAUAUGGGCAUGGGGGCGAAAGACUAAUCGAACCUUCUAGUAGCUGGGUUCCGCCGA